GUAAUGUAGAGAGAGAUUGAAGAAGUCAUCUAACAUCAACACACACACACGUGUGCAGAUACAAGCAUAUGUGCUCACAUAUGUAAACAUUCAUACAUGCACACAAAACACACAACCUGCACAGACCAAAAGUUAAAAGGAUAAAAAUUUAAAUAUAAACUUUGACUUUCCAAGAAAAUCUGACUACUCUGAGGAGUUCUCUAGAAGCUUAGAUGUUAACAGUAAAAGACAGAUGUAAACUUAGAGAGUGGCAAUGGCAGUAAGAUGCACUUCUGCUGCAUUUAUAUCCCCAUAAGCACCUGCUUUUUUCGUUUCCUUUCUUCCUCCUGGUCAUAUUCUUCUUUUGAUUUUCUGAAAUAUAAAAAAAAAAAAAUUAAACGUUAAUCGGUUUGGUGUGGCCCUGGCUGUCCUAGAACUCCCUAUGUAGAUCAGCUUACCCUUGAACUCACACGAUCCACCUGCUUCUGCUGCCCUAAUGCUGGGAAGAAAGGUUUGCACCCCUACUGGCUGGCUAAAAAGUAAAUUUUCUUCUUCAUCAAAGAAUAAAUAAACAGCAUGUUAACCUGACAUUAUAGUAUAGGCAAAGUUAUCCACUGGACUGAUCCAGGAUAAGUGAUAUAGAAAUACUUUUCUCCUAAUUAAAUAUAAUACAAAUUGGACUUCAAACAUGAAAAUCUAAAAUGUUCUAAAACAAGAAACUUUGGCUCAUCAGCAGAACAUUCAAAAUGUAAUGUGUAAUGUUUGAAUUCCAAAUUUUCUGGUUAGGGUUGCUCAUCUGUGAUCUGUGCAAGUAUUCCAAAAUCUGAAACAUUCAUUCCUAAGCAUUUAGAUAAGAGUCACUCACUCAAGCUGUGUAUACAUGCCCCCCCCCAAAAAAAUCAUUUUGUCGGUAGUAUUUUCUAGGGAAAAGUUCAAAUACAUUCAGAUCAUAUACAACACUACUAACAUUUCAUUUAAAAACAGUUGAAAAUGCAUACCUGAGGACCUCUCUUAGAAUUUUCAUCUCUUCCUGUUCAAGGUCACUGACCACAUCUGCACCAUCAGUUAAGCAGUCAGGUAACACACCUGUUCAAAACCAAACACCACAUGGAAGACCAUCAACUCAACUGAAACACUCUUCACACUGUUAUGGACCAUGGGUACAAAUUAGUUUACAAUGUAUCAUUUUUAAAAAUUCCAAGCCUUGUUAAUUAUCUUCUGCUUAACUUCCUUACAUUUUAGGGAUUAAGCUCAACAAAAACCAGUCUUGAUUUUAGCUACAACUAUCUCUCAGUGAUAACUUGUGUUUACUAUCUAAAAUAGCAAUGAUUGGAACCAAUAUGUAGCUCAGUGGUUGAGCCCUUAAAAAGCAUGCAUGGGCUCAACUCCCAGGACCAAAAAAAAUAAGUUUUCUUUGACCUCUACAUCAUGGAGGCACUCAUGUUUUCUCUAUCUAGAGAUUGACCUAUUUCUGUCUCUCACACACUAUUAAUUUUUAAGAAAAUAACUUGAAAAAAACUGUAUGCCAAUAAAAAUAAUAUAGACAUUAUGGUCUUCCAUUGUCACACUCCAUCUGAGGAUAUCCUACUGAUACCACUUAGCCAGAGUUAACAGUGUGCUUUUAAAGGUGAGCCUUAAGUGAGGUUACAAAACAAAAUGGUGCUUUGUUAGAGGGAGUUUCAUGUUCUCCAUUUGAACUGUGAUGCUAGUGAAAAGGCCCUGCUUACUAUGUGCAGUGACAGCAUGUGCUAAACUUGUGCUGAACAUAAAGAUCAAUGAUACUAUCUCUGCCCUUGAAGCAUGUUCAGUAUUGGCAAUAGCUUUAAAUCACAAUUGUGCCAACCUCCACCUUGCAUUCCCCUCAACCCAGAAAACAGAAAUUCACAGGAAGUAGUUUUAAUUGUUGGUUUAACUGACUUCUACCUCCCUGAUAAGGCAGGCUCAUUAGAAGUGUCCAUCUCUGUGUACUACAGCAGGAAAAGAGGGCACCUUUAUUUUACUCUCCAUUUCUUUAUGCAAAUACAUAUACAAUAGGAUUCUAGAUUAGCUCUAAAGUAGUUUAUCAUUACAGUUCCCUUGAUGUUCAUCUGCAUUUGGGGCUAAACACUGUACUGAGUUAAUAGUCAUUUGUAAAGAAAGAGCAGAAAAAUGCAUGUACUCUUCACCUGGAAACCACAGCACAGCAUCACACCAGAAAAGUCACACCUGCAAACUCAUCACUCUGAAGCAUAAUUUUGCACAGCCAAAAGGUAUAAAAUCAUUUUCCUCCUAGCAACCUUUCUAUGGAGAAUUAAAAGCAGUAAGUAACAACGCAACUGUACGAAAGAAAUCCUUUAAACCAUCAAAAUGCAUUUUCUCCAAAUUAUUUGAGAACAAAAAUCCAGAAAGCCUUUGAAUUUUUCUUACAAAACAUAAAAUUUCCAAACAUUCUGUUUUGAAUACAAUCAACACUGAUCUACUACUCAGCCCUGGAUGCAAAUGUUAAUUUAAAUUUAGACAUAGAGCAAACUGCCCAUAUUGUGGGCUGACAGCAGUAAUUAUCCCACAUCAUCCAUCCCUUCUCCAUUAAGCCUGAUUCUAUGCAGUCAUCAGGCAGCCAUCACUGAGAGAUCAAACGCUCUCUCACCUCAGAAAAGUAGCACUUGAUAGCUUAAGUCAAGUUAUCACAAUGGUCCCAACCCCUUCCAGUUUAAGGCCAGUAACUUGACCCUGAGCAAUAGGGCCUGAGCGAAGGCUCUUGGAGGGCUCUCAUGAAAUGUUAUCUUUCUU
rnacentral:lncRNA from 1 species